GGAAGGAUGGGUGAGUGGCUGAAACCAGCAGUUUGCUAAACUGCCGUGCGCAUUUACGCGUACCGGGGGUUCGAAUCCCCCUCCUUCCGCCA
rnacentral:tRNA from 1 species